rnacentral:misc_RNA from 1 species
CACCACUCAAGCCUCGCUUGGUAUUGGGCAACGCGGUCCGCCGCGUGCCUCAAAUCGACCGGCUGGGUCUUCUGUCCCCUAAGCGUUGUGGAAACUAUUCGCUAAAGGGUGUUCGGGAGGCUACGCCGUUAAACACCCCCUUCUUUA